AGGAAAUUCUAUUUGUCCACUGAUGUUUCUGAGUCCCUGCAAUAGUGCCUGGCACAUAGGUGCUCCAUAAAUAUUUGCUGAAAGAUUACAUAAAUAAAUGGAUGAAUGGAUAUGAGCAUCUCUCACUGGAGAGGGUCCAGAACUUUCAUUAGAUUUUCCAAGGUGUCUGUGACACAAAAAAGGGUAGGAACCAUUGACAUAGUAACCCAUCAAAAAGUUUGCUGGAAAUUCUUUGCUUGCCGGGAAGUCUGCCUAAUGAAGCAGGAGGUCCUGAGGGAUUUUUCUCCUUUUUUGAUUUGUGUCUUUCCAGAGAGCUAAUGCUGGCAGCUGUUGGGAUGUCCUCUUCCAGGACUGGUGAUGAGUUUCCUGGUAUCCAGCCCUGGCCGGACUGAGCCCUUCCAGCCUCUCAAUGCAAAAAUGGAUGAUAAAACUUUAAGAGGAGUGUGCAGCAUGUUGCAAGAUGUGAACAGAACACCAUAUAAGAUGUCAGGAGGCCUGGAUUCUAGACUUGUUUUGUUACUUCCAUUUUCUGUGCCUAGGUUUUUCUAACUGUAAGAUGAGGACAUUAGCCUAUGAUCUACAAUGCCCAUUCCAACUCAGAGAAUCUUUGCAUCUGGAGAUCUACAGCAGGGCUCUGCCUAGUGAUAUGUAUGAAGAAGCUUGGAAAUGGGGCUGGGUAGGAGCUGAGUAUGUAGAAUGUGGAAAGGCAUUCUAAACCAAAAGAAGAACACAAAUAAAGAUGAUGAAGCAGG